UUGAUUUUGGUGGAUUUUGUUUAAUUAUGUAUGGAAAGUUGUUAUUAUUUUAGAUGUUUUGCAUUAAUUAAUUUGUAGUCUUUGAAAUAUACUCAGUUUGGUGCAUAAAGAAAUUCAGAAUUGAAAUCUAUAGAAGGCUAGACUAAAAAUUCUCUUUUCUUGUAUUUGGCAUUGCACUUGAUUCGAUAUUUCUCUUCGGUAUGUAUUAUGUUGCACAAUAGUUUGUUUAUACUUCAAUCUUUUCUAAUUCAACAACUCUUAAUGAAGACCUAGUUAAUUGUCACUGCUAUAUUAUUAAAUUAAAAUCUUAUUGACUCCCUUAUUAACCAAUAGGAAUAGGAGAAUAAUUAGAUUAACAAAUAGGAGAUGCAGGCAUUGAAUGAAUAUCAUUUUUCCUCUUAAUACAUCUUUAGGAACAAAAAAAAAAAAGGUUAAUAACUACAUGCAUUGAAGAUGUCCCUUAUUUUCCCUUUCCUAUUUAGGUUAAUAUAAACUACAUGCAUUGAAGAUGUCCCUUAUUUUCCCUUUCCUAUUUCUUUUUUACAACUCGUGAGGCUUACUGCUUCAUUAUGUCAAUUGUCAAAUGUGAUUUUUUUUCCUCUGGGGCUAUUUAUCCUCAUUUUCCCUUUGGUAUCAAAGCUGUUUAAAUCAAUUACACACUGGUGACUUUAUUGUGAAUUUGAUUAAUUGUAUGUGGUCAACAUGUUAAUCUGUAUUUUUUUGGUUAAUCUAUUUUUCAGGUGAUGUUGGUGGCUUUUGGGAAUUUAAUAUCAGUGUUUUUUUAUGGAUUAAUUGUUUUUUCUAGUGAUAGGCUGAUGAUUGGAUAUUGCAAAGGAUUUGUGAGAUAUGUUACACGAUGUAUUUUGAUGAUGCUAUUUGUUGGAAGUUUCAAGUGAUUGAAAUUUUUAGUGUAUGGUGCUAUUUGGUAUUAUAUAGUUUUAUGAAUUUGAAUGUAAUUUUAUUUUUGUUAAUUCAAGUUUUAAAAUGUGGCUUUUGCUAUUUCUAUUUCAAAAUUCUGGAAUUUAAAUAAUGUUAAUUAGUAUUAAUAUAAUUUC
rnacentral:lncRNA from 1 species